ACUUAAUGCUAGGGGUGCCUUGUGGCUGAGAAACACCAGUUGUUAACCCUUCUACCUGAUCUGGAUAACACCAGCGUAGGGAAGCGGAUUUUUAGAAAA
rnacentral:ncRNA from 2 species